rnacentral:rRNA from 1 species
AUUGAACGCUGGCGGCAGGCCUAACACAUGCAAGUCGAACGAGUGGCGGACGGGUGAGUAAUGUAUGGGAAACUGCCCGAUGGAGGGGGAUAACUGCUGGAAAAGGUGGCUAAUACCGCAUACCAUCGGCUGUGCCCAGAUGGGAUUUGCUAGUAGGUGGGGUAACGUCUCACCUAGGCGACGCUCCCUAGCUGGUCUGAGAGGGUGACCAGCCACACUGGGACGGAGACACGGUCCAGACGCCAACGGGAGACAGCAGUGGGGAAUAUUGCACCAAGGGCGCAGGACUGAUGCAGCAAGGCCGCAAGAAUGAAGAAGGCCCUCGGGUUGUAAAAAGCUUGCGGCAGGGAGGCGUUACGUGCAGAAGAAGCAACGGCUAACUCCGUGCCAGCAGCCGCGGUAAUAC